UUCUUAUCGAGAGAGAUGGAGGGACGUGGCCCUAUGAAAUCUCAGCAACCAGCCGAAAGGUCAGGUGCUAAAUCCAUCAAGCUGUAUGAAGUUUGAAAGAUAAGAA
rnacentral:ncRNA from 2 species